UACGUAGGGGGCUAGCGUUGUCCGGAUUUAUUGGGCGUAAAGAGCGUGCAGGCGGCCAGGCAGGUCUGCUGUGAAAACUCGAGGCUCAACCUCGAGCUGUCGGCGGAAACCAUCUGGCUAGAGUCCGGAAGAGGAGAAUGGAAUUCCCGGUGUAGCGGUGAAAUGCGCAGAUAUCGGGAAGAACACCCGUGGCGAAGGCGGUUCUCUGGGACGGUACUGACGCUGAGACGCGAAAGCGUGGGGAGCGAACAGG
rnacentral:rRNA from 1 species